GACAGAGGUCCCAAGCGUUAGGCGGAAUCACUGGGCUUAAAGCGUGUGUAGGCGGAUGCCUAAGUACCUUGUGAAAUCCCACGGCUCACCCGUGGAACUGCUUGGUAUACUGGGUGUCUUGAGCCACUUAGGGGCUACCGGAACAAAUGGUGGAGCGGUGAAAUGCGUAGAUACCAUUUGGAACGCCAACGGUGAAAACAGGUAGCUGGGAGUGUGCUGACGCUGAGACACGAAAGCCAGGGGAGCAAACGGG
rnacentral:rRNA from 1 species